GAGUUUGAUCGUGGCUCAGGACGAACGCUGGCGGCAUGCCUAAUACAUGCAAGUCGAACGAAGUCUUUAGGAAGCUUGCUUCCAAAGAGACUUAGUGGCGAACGGGUGAGUAACACGUAGGUAACCUGCCCAUGUGCCCGGGAUAACUGCUGGAAACGGUAGCUAAAACCGGAUAGGUAUGAGGGAGGCAUCUUCCUCAUAUUAAAGCACCUUCGGGUGUGAACAUGGAUGGACCUGCGGCGCAUUAGCUGGUUGGUGAGGUAACGGCCCACCAAGGCGAUGAUGCGUAGCCGACCUGAGAGGGUGAACGGCCACAUUGGGACUGAGACCACGGCCCAAAACUCCUACGGGAGGCGGCAGUAGGGAAUAUUGGGCAAUGGACGCAAGUCUGACCCAGCAACGCCGCGUGAAGGAAGAAGGCUUUCGGGUUGUAAACUUCUUUUGUCAGGGAAGAGUAGAAGACGGUACCUGACGAAUAAGCCACGGCUAACUACGUGCCAGCAGCCGCUGUAAC
rnacentral:rRNA from 1 species